UAAUCUAAAGAAGAGGAAGAAGAAAAGUUAAACUAAUUUACCAUAAAGUUCUAUAAGCCAAAGAAAAACUACUUUUAAAAUAAACUCAACAUACAUGACCAAUCUAGUCAAAAAUAUCGAUAAAAUAUCAGUUAGUCAUUUACCAUAAAUUAAUCAAUUGAAGAGUUUGUGGGAUAAUGCAAAUCUUCUUGCAAAAAAGAAAUUGAAAGUUUUACUGCAAGAGAUAUCAAUACGUACGUAAAUAUAUCAUUUCGGUAGUUCUAUGGUUUGUUGUAUAGAUUUGAAUCGAAUCAUCCGUCUUCAGCAUGCUUAAUAAAGUGAAAUUGUUGAACACUUUACCAGAAACUUUUUCACACAAUUUAUUUACUUAAAUUCCUAUGGAUACAAUUUUUUGGAAUCAAAGUACAAUUUACUUAAACAUCUACAACUUCACGUUGUUAAAUCAACUUUAACAUAAGAUCUCAUCCAUUCAGUAUCAGUUUGGUUGGAAAUUAUAGCUUUGUCGGAUCGAGAGUUUUGGUAUCCGAAUCCGAGUGAAUGUUCAUCCAUAUCUACUUUAGCAGCGAUGAAAAUUAAACUGCAAAAAGUUAUCGAGAAUAACAUUCAGUUCUGCCUUACCAGAACUUAUGUGAUUCUGUAGUUUCAAACCACUAUAGUUAAAUGAAAUUCUCAUGUUUUUAGUAUGAUAGAUACCAGUUCGAUUCUGCUUUCUCAGUCAGUUCUUUCGUUUUCCGUCAUAUCAUGGUCAUGGGUGACAUUAUGAUUAAAUCUACUACUCAUUUUGUUUCA